rnacentral:rRNA from 1 species
AGUGGAUGGGGAGCAACCUAGUUGUGCGUGUGUAAAGGUAGUGCCAAGAAAAGCGAUGAUCAUGUUGAAAAUCAAUUCCCGGUACCCGAAACCGACACAGGUGGGCAAGUAGAGAAUACUAAGGGGCGCGAGGUAACUCUCUCCAAGGAACUCGGCAAAAUGACCCCGUAACUUAGGGAGAAGGGGUGCCACCGAGAGGUGGUCGCAGUGAAGAGGCCCAGGCGACUGUUUAGCAAAAACAUAGGUCUCUGCAAACUCGAAAGAGGAGGUAUAGGGGCUGACGCCUGCCCAGUGCCGGAAGGUUAAAGAAGUUGGUCAGUUUUAGGAUGAAGCUAGCGACUGAAGCCCCGGUGAACGGCGGCCGUAACUAUAACGGUCCUAAGGUAGCGAAAUUCCUUGUCGGGUAAGUUCCGACCCGCACGAAAGGCGUAACGAUCUGGGCGCUGUCUCGGAGAGAGGCUCGGCGAAAUAGGAUUGUCUGUGAAGAUACGGACUACCUGCGUUUGGACAGAAAGACCCUAUGAAGCUUUACUAUAGCUUGGAAUUGUGUUCGGGCUUCCUGUGCGCAGGAUAGGUGGGAGGCGUAGAAGGUAUUCUUGUGGGGAUACUGGAGCCAACGGUGAGAUACCACUCUCAGGAGGCUAGAAUUCUAACUUAAUUAAGGACAGUUUCAGGUGGGUAGUUUGACUGGGGCGGUCGCCUCCAAAAAGGUAACGGAGGCGUACAAAGGUUCCCUCAGACUGGGUGAAAUCAGUCGAAGAGUGCAAAGGCAGAAGGGAGCUUGACUGCGAGAAGUACAGUUCGAGCAGGGUGGAAACACGGUCUUAGUGAUCCGACGGUGCUGUGUGGAAGGGCCGUCGCUCAACGGAUAAAAGUUACUCUAGGAUAACAGGCUGAUCUCCCCCAAGAGUUCACAUCGACGGGGAGGUUUGGCACCUCGAUGUCGGCUCAUCGCAACCUGGGGCGGAAGUACGUCCCAAGGGUUGGGCUGUUCGCCCAUUAAAGCGGUACGUGAGCUGGGUUCAGAACGUCGUGAGACAGUUCGGUCCAUAUCCGAUGUAGGCGUGAGAAUAUUGAGAGGAGCCUUCCUUAGUACGAGAGGACCGGGAAGGACGCACCGCUGGUGUACCUGUUAUGAUGCCAAUUGUAAACGCAGGGUAGCCAAGUGCGGAGAGGAUAACCGCUGAAAGCAUCUAAGUGGGAAGCCCACCUCAAGAUGAGUAUUCUGGUGUAAGGUCACGGGAAGACGACCCGUAAAUAGGCACGAGGUGGAAGUGCAGAGAUGUAUGAAGCCGAAGUGUACUAAUAGACCGUCGGCUUGACCG